rnacentral:misc_RNA from 1 species
CUUCAGAUGAUGAUCCCAAGCCUUCUGGCGUUCUGUUCAUCAAAUUUCAAAAGCGUUUAAGAAACAGGUAAAAAGCGUUUAAGCAGAUAUAAAGCGUUUAAGCAGAUAUAAAGCGUUUAAGAAACAUAUAAAGAAGGUGUUUAAGAAACAUAUCUGUUUCUUAAACAUAUCUUUUGUUUUCUUUUAUCUGUCCCGAGGAAGGUUUUUACCGAUUUACUCCUGAGGGCUUGUAGCUCAGUUGGUUAGAGCGCGCGCUUGAUAAGCGUGAGGUCGGAGGUUCAAGUCCUCCCAGGCCCACCAAUUUAUGAUUGCUGAUAAGUUUGCUGAUAAGUUUUUUGCGAAUGUUUUGAUGGUCUUUUAUCUUACGAUCUUUCACUUUUAUGUUGCAAUCUUUCAAAAGUAUUUGAACUGUUUUAGGGGCCGUAGCUCAGCUGGGAGAGCACCUUCUUUGCAAGCAGGGGGUCGUCGGUUC